UACGUAGGGUGCGAGCGUUGUCCGGAAUUAUUGGGCGUAAGGAGCUCGUAGGCGGUUCGUCACGUCGGCUGUGAAAUCCCGAGGCUCAACCUCGGGUCUGCAGUCGAUACGGGCGGACUUGAGUACUGCAGGGGAGACUGGAAUUCCUGGUGUAGCGGUGAAAUGCGCAGAUAUCAGGAGGAACACCGGUGGCGAAGGCGGGUCUCUGGGCAGUAACUGACGCUGAGGAGCGAAAGCGUGGGGAGCGAACAGG
rnacentral:rRNA from 1 species